rnacentral:rRNA from 1 species
CAGUAGCCACGGUAAUACGUAGGGUGCGAGCGUUAAUCGGAAUUACUGGGCGUAAAGCGUGCGCAGGCGGUUCGUUAAGACAGAUGUGAAAUCCCCGGGCUUAACCUGGGAACUGCAUUUGUGACUGGCGAGCUAGAGUAUGGCAGAGGGGGGUAGAAUUCCACGUGUAGCAGUGAAAUGCGUAGAGAUGUGGAGGAAUACCGAUGGCGAAGGCAGCCCCCUGGGCCAAUACUGACGCUCAUGCACGAAAGCGUGGGGAGCAAACAGGAUUAGAUACCCCAGUAGUCCCUGUCUCUUAUAC